rnacentral:rRNA from 1 species
GGUCCUGCCUGCCCAGUGACAUAAGUUAAACGGCCGCGGUAUCUUGACCGUGCGAAGGUAGCAUAAUCAUUUGUCUCCUAAAUAGAGACUGGUAUGAAUGGCAAGACGGAGCUUAACUGUCUCCUUUUCUUAAAUCUUAAAUUCACUUCCCCGUGAAGAGGCGGGUUAGCAUUCGUUAGACGAGAAGACCCUAUCGAGCUUAAGUAAAACUCUGAUUUCUUAAUAACUUUUACCACUUUCUAAUACCAAUUAAACUAAAAGUAAUAAAAGAGAGAUAUUUGGAACAAACUUUGGUUGGGGCAACCACGGAGAAAUAUAAUCCUCCGUUAACAUUCAUAAACAAAGGCACUACAAGCCUAAUACUGACUAAUCAAGUAAAAUGAUCCACUAAGGUGAUCAAAGGAAAAAGUUACCGUAGGGAUAACAGCGUUAUCUUUUCUGAGAGUUCACAUUGACGAAAAGGUUUGCGACCUCGAUGUUGGAUCGGGACAUCCAGGGGGUGCAGAAGCUUCCAAGGGUUGGUCUGUUCGACCAUUAAAGUCCU